rnacentral:rRNA from 1 species
AUUGAACGCUGGCGGCAGGCCUAACACAUGCAAGUCGAACGAGUGGCGGACGGGUGAGUAAUGUCUGGGAAACUGCCUGAUGGAGGGGGAUAACUACUGGAAACGGUAGCUAAUACCGCAUACCAUCGGAUGUGCCCAGAUGGGAUUAGCUAGUAGGUGGGGUAAAGGCUCACCUAGGCGACGAUCCCUAGCUGGUCUGAGAGGAUGACCAGGCACACGUGGACUUAGGCACGGUCCAGACGCCGACGGGGGGCAGCAGUGGGGAAUAUUGCACAAUGGGCGCAAGCCUGAUGCAGCCAUGCCGCGUGGAUGAAGAAGGCCUUCGGGUUGUAAAGUACUUUCAGCGGGGAGGCGUUACCCGCAGAAGAAGAACCGGCUAACUCCGUGCCAGGAGCCGCGAUAAUUC